CCGGCGCACGGGUGAGUAACACGUAUCCAACCUGCCGUCUACUCUUGGCCAGCCUUCUGAAAGGAAGAUUAAUCCAGGAUGGCAUCAUGAGUUCACAUGUCCGCAUAAUUAAAGGUAUUUUCCGGUAGACGAUGGGGAUGCGUUCCAUUAGAUAGUAGGCGGGGUAACGGCCCACCUAGUCAACGAUGGAUAGGGGUUCUGAGAGGAAGGUCCCCCACAUUGGAACUGAGACACGGUCCAA
rnacentral:rRNA from 1 species